rfam:Gracilibacillus kekensis strain CGMCC 1.10681 genome assembly, contig: Ga0079828_101
AUUGAACACUAGGGGAGCCAUUAAGUGGCUGAGACGAAAAAUUCGGACCCUUUGAACCUGAUCUGGUUAACACUAGCGUAGGGAAGUGGUAAGAGAGCGAA